AGCAGCGUGGCUCAGUGGAAAGAGCCUGGGCUUCGGAGUCACUGGUCAUGGGUUCGACUCCCAGCUCUGCCA
rnacentral:tRNA from 1 species